CAGGAUUUCUUCAUCUGUGUGGUUUUCUGGAGAGUCCAGACUGCAGACUGCAGACUCUGAGGUUGAAGAACUGCAGAUUGUCAAAGAUCAGCUGUGCUGCUCUGGUCACAGCUCUGAAUUUAAACCCGUCCCACCUGACAGAACUGGACCUGAGAAACAACAACCUUCAGUUUUCAGAUGUUCAGCAGCUCCAGGAUCUGGUGAAGAGUCCAAACUCCAAACUGCAGACUCUGAGGUGGGAGUACUAAAGAAUCUAAUGUUCCUCCUUUUGGAUCGGAGAGGACCACCAUCAUCAUCAUCAUCAUCAGGUCUGCAGAGAUGUUGUUCCUGGAGGUGGAAAGCAGAGUGAUGGAUGAAUCAGAAGAAGUGGAGAUGAGUGUCAGAGCUGCAGCAUGAACUGAUCUGAGAUCAGCUCCACUGUCUCUCUCAGCAUCAAGUGGACAGUUAGUGCUGCAGCUCCCCCGGUGGACUGAUGGAGAACUGCACUUCAUCUUCUCAUUCUAACUUGGAGUGUUGGGAAGUCUUCUGUUUCUCGUCUCUCUCGUAUUGGGAGUUUCUCUUAACUUUGUCCACAUGCUCUAUGCUCUAGUUGCUGAUGUCAUCCUUCCUGUCUGUUGUCUGUGAUUCUCUGUACAUUUUCAUGAGGGAGCAGCUGUGAAUAUAUUUCUGCACUAAAGUCAGUUGAACAAACAAACAACUACUGAUCAAUCAUUGAUCAGUUUUCUCCUCAUGUGUCCUGAAACUGUUUCUCUGAAUGAUCUGUGUUGGUGAUUCAUCAGAUUCAGACAUGAUGGUUUCCUGCAGAAGCUCAGAAGUCUUUUCUGGUGUUUCUUGGACUCCUGCACGUCUCUGUACCACAGAGUGGACCAGCAUUCUCUGAACAUCCUUCAGCUGGUCCAGAAAGCAUCAGCAUGGCUGUUGACAAAAGAAAGAAAACCUUCCAGCAGUUCUGGCCUCAGGAUUCUCCAUCUGGGAGCAUUUUGGUUCUUCUUUUUCAUCUUUAUCAGACCUUUCAGAACCACAAAGUGGACUCAGUUCAUCUGAUUAAAGGCUGCUGGGUUUUGUAUUUUGUUCAUUAUUUUACAGGGUUUUGUUCUAUUGUAACCAUGGUAACUGUAGGAACCGCACUCCUGUUUACUCUGAGUCCUGAAGCAGAAAUCCCACCAGAACUAACAAAAGUCUCUCAGUUGAAUCAUUUUUAUAUCAUCUCUGUUCUGUUGAUGAUAAAAUAUUGACUCAUGCAGUUUGAAAGACUCAGAGUUUUAGUUUGAUGUUUUCUACAGUUUUAUGAUUGAACUUCCUUUUUCUUUGGUGUUUUAUGGGUAAAACUCUGUUCUUUUUCAUGCUGACAGCAUUUUAGCUGCAGUUUUUAAAGAAGUUUUAUCUAAAUCCAGCAGAAUCUAAACAUUUUCUAGAAAGUCUGAAACUAGCAGAAACUUUCUGAGCAUAAAGCCUGUUUUCUCCAGAGGACAUGAAUGAACAGAGUGGAUGUUAGUGAGGAAUGACAGAGAAUCACUUUGAUGCAGCUGCUGCAACAACACUAACUGCAUUGAAGCAGGAGGGAGAAGGGAGACACCUGCUGGCUGUUUCCAGAACUGCAUCUUAGUGUCUAAAGGUUCAGACUGAAAGCUGUCUGUCAAAUUCCUGCAGCCUGUUUGGAUCUAAUAAAUGCUCUUUUGAAUCAA